CGCAGCCAUAUGGGAUCGGCGCGGAGCAACGCCGUCCUGAUGGGUUCCGGCGGCGGAGCGACGCUCCAUCAAAUCCAUGGAGGGGAUGCGAGGUGUCAAUCUUUUAUUCGGGGAGAUAAAGGGGGGGGGGUUCCCUCUGCAUGGGACCACCAGGGACACCCACGGGGGGGGGGUUCUGCAUUGUCCCAAUGGGAUCCCCCGCCUUCCCCAACACAGCCCCAUCCAUUGCCCCACUCCUUAAGGCAAAGAGACCCCAAUGAGAGCCCCCCCCCGUCCCAGAAAUGGAUGGGGAAGGGGGGGGACGGCCUAAAACGCACUUUUUUGGGGGCUGUUUUUUAUAUUGGGGGGGGGGGGAGGUUUGGUGUUUGGGUUAUGGAGAUGAGGGAAAUAAAGGGGGAAUGGGGGGGAGAGGAGGGGAUGAGAGGGAGGGAAAGGAAAUGGGGGGGGAGAGAAAAGGGAAGGGGGAGAAGGGAGAAAGGAGGGGGGGGAAGGGGAAGGAAGGGGGGGGGAAGGGGGGAAGGAAAAGGGGGAAGGAAAAGGGGGAAGGAAAAGGGAAGAAAAGGGGGAAGGAAAAGGGGGAAGGAAAGGGGGAAAAGAGAGGAAAAGAACCCAAAAGGUAAAGGAAAAGAGGAAGAAAAAGGAGAAGUGAAGCGGAAGAGUGAAAAUGAAGGGAAAAGAGAAAGAAAAAGAGAGGCUGAGGACGAUCUCACCUCGGCCGCAGCUCCGACGGCGCGGACGGACCCGGGGGGGGUCGGGGGGGGCUGUGGGGGUCCCGGAGGCUGCGCCGCCGUUCGGGGUCACGCCGGGGAGGGGGGGGGUUGGGGGGGGGGGGAUUCCGCUGUGGGUCCCAACAGCUUCGGAACGGAACCGCCGCGCACCUCCAACGCUCCGCACCCAAACCCACAGCGCUGCCCCCCCCCCCCCAAUUCUCCCCCCCCCCCCUCCACCCUCGGGGGGGUCCCGUCGAGGACGGCCAUUGGUCCGCGCCGCCCACGUGACCGCCCCCGGAUUCCGAUUUCUCCCUCUUUUUCUUUUCUUUUGGCCUUUUCUGCCUUUUUUUUUUGCUGGACGGAUCCCCCCCCCCCCCAUGGACCUCUCCCCCCCCCCCGGGGGGGGCGCACGAGAAGUUUGAGAGGAGCGGCUGCAGAGAGGUCCUGGCAGGUCACAGCAGCGAUCUGAGCCCCCCCCAGGAGCGAUCUGAGCCCCCCCAGGAGCGGUCUGAGACCAAAACGAGCAUCCCCGGGGGGGGUCCCCCCGGCCGCAGCAAUUCCCAUCCGCGGGAGGAAGGAGAGGCCGAGAGAGGGGGAAGAUUGAAUUGAAGCCCCGGGGCCAUUAACCCGCUGCCCUGGCCCAACUCCAGCUGCAGUAAUUACAUUCGCCCUGAUUAAAAAUUUCCCCUUCGUUUUCAAUUAGCUCCGCCGUCCUUCUUCGCUUCCCUCCUCCCCAACCACAGCGCUGUGCGGCUCCGCAGUGCGGCUGCUCUGCAAAGGGGAAACUGAGGCACGGGGGGCUGUGGGGAGGGGGCGUUGUGGCACCUGUGGGGCACAGUGGGGCACUGCAUGGGGGGCGAUCAUAGCGCCUAUGGGGUAUUGCUCUACACUGGGGCUCCUAUGGGGCAUCACAUGGGGGUGUUGAUGGUGCCUAUGGGGCACCUAUGGGGUAUUGCACUACACUGGGGCUCCUAUGGGGCAUCGCAUGGGGGUGUCCAUGGCAUCUAUGGGGCACCUAUGGGGUAUUGCAUGGAGGUGUUCUAGCGCCUAUGGGGCAUCUAUGGGGUAUUGCACUACAGUGGGGCUCCUAUGGGGCAUCGCAUGGGGGUGUCCAUGGCAUCUAUGGGGCACCUAUGGGGUAUUGCACUACAGUGGGGCUCCUAUGGGGCAUCGCAUGGGGGUGUUGAUGGCGCCUAUGGGGCACAAACAAGAAGGGAGAAACCACAUUCUCCCACCCUGACAAAGCAAUGAGGAUAACGACCCCAGAAAGGCAUUUUUUUGCCCCAAAAGCACCCAUGUGAAGGCGCAGUGCUGGCAGCAAUGUGGGGGGGUGGAUCUUCUCUCACCCCAUCUGUCCGUCUGUCCGUCCCGCUGUCUCCCCUGUGUUUAUCUCUCCUAUCUCCCAGCUGAUCUCACUCCACCUCUGUUCCCCACACUGUUUAUUUUGCUGCCCAUUGCAGUGUCUGUUUGCUCUGCUGCCCUUCAGCCUUUCUGCUCCUCUGCCUCUCUCCACUCAAUGGUUUCCAUUUGAUGGCUGAAAGGAGAAAACCCACUCAGCCCUUCCCUUCCCUUCCCUUCCCUUCCCUUCCCUUCCCUUCCCUUCCCUUCCCUUCCCUUCCCUUCCCUUCCCUUCCCUUCCCUUCCCUUCCCUUCCCUUCCCUUCCCUUCCCUUCCCUU
ensembl:lncRNA